GGAUAAUUGCAUGGAUCAUGAUAUUGACGCCGUGUACCUUAAAAGCUAUGCAAAGAUCCGAUGGUUGACGUCACCAAAGAAGAUGAAUCGUUGUUUCGUGCCAAAGAUACAACCCAAAACCUACAAAUCCAUGACGAAUCGUUGACUUUCGCUGACUGGGAUUCGGUCAAACUUCUGCCAGGUUGCAAGGAAGACGACAAGAAGAAACCACCCCAUUUCCAC
rnacentral:lncRNA from 1 species